UUGAAAUUGAUUUGAUUUAUACCGCGAAUUGUGUAGCAUUUUUCGUGCGAAUGUUUUUUCCCCGUUAAUUUCUUUUUCAUUACAUUUAUUAGUAGAAUUUAGAAAUAACUUACGUUAAAGUAUGUGCUUCAUUGAUAAUUUUAGCUAAUAAAUAAAGAAUUCUGCUUCGUCUAUGCCUUUAAUCCAAGUUUUAAAUAAAAGAGUGUUGUAAAAUAUGCGUGGGCAUUUAAUUUAAACUAGUCAUAUGGAAGUUGGGAAGCACUUCCGCAAAGGAUCCGUUAAAUGUAAACAUCGCCACAAAUGGCGAUAACGUUUUUUCUGAGGUUUUGUAAGGCAGAUUAUUUUAUAGUAUAAAGUAUAUUGCCGUUGUAACUGUUAAAAAUACAUAUUUUUCCUUUAUACCAUUUAGUUAAUAAGCAGAAAUCAGAAUUAUUUUGGUAAUUAAAAGGAAAUGUCUUUUUCUGUCAUGCUUAAUUUUAUGUAUUUUCAAGUUCCUUCUUAUCCUUUUUUUCCCUACAGGUGCAAGAAAGCUGAAAGGACAAAAAGUAACAGACUGGCCGUAUUUCAUUUGUCUCUUUACCAGUCUUUCCAUUCUCAAGUUUGUAACAUCUCAUGAUUCAACAGGAUUGUGCUACUACGUCAUCUUCAGUAGUUAAUUCUACACUGCUGACAGAUACUACAGAUAAUACUUCUCAUAAAGCAUAUGGAUUCUGCAGGGGAUUCUUCUGAGCAACUAGUGUAAUUCAAAUUGCUCCUUUGGGGCAGCCAUCCCAAGUAGCCCUUCAGUGUGUUGCCUUGAGGUGAAAUGAUAUCUAGCAGCAGUUUGGAUGACAAUGUCAAUUGGAGUGAAUCUAAAAGUAGCGUUGGAAUGCCAAAUGGAGGCAAAUCAGGCCAGAUGAUCCAAUUCCCUUUCUUGCAAAUGCCUUGUUAGACAUAAAGUUAGCUAUGGAAACUGGAAAGUUCACAUCUCUCCUGCAUUCCGAAGAGUCAUUAAGAGCGUAUUUUAGACUUUUGGACCCAGAAGGAGAAGGAUCCAUAACUUGGAAACAGAUGAAAUCUGCCCUAGCCGUUCUAGGAGCUAAGGAUCAUGCAAUAUCUCCUGUCGAUUAUCAAGGACCUGUAUUUGAAGAAAUGUUUGUGGAUUUGGGAAAGUAUUUUUUAUUACGGAGGCUGAAACCUUAAAAGCUUGUACUUUAUUAUGUAUUUGCAAAGUAUUUACUCGUAAUAUGUUGUUAUAGAUACAUUUUUUGUAUUGCUUUGGUAUAUUUAAAAGUGCUUUUUAAAAUUUUUUUUCUACUAACAGAGAACUCCAAAUAAAGUUAUUAAGAACAACACCAGAUUUUAAAAUGAGAAAUGAUGUCGUUAACUAAUGAUGUCGUGACAGUAUGUGUUUUAAAUUUUGAAUGCUCUCCUCUACGGUUGUUAGUAGGAAAAUGAGCUUAUUAACAGUCCAACAAGAAGACGGAUCACUUUAUUAACAGCCGAAUCAGAAGGCUAACAGCUGGUUACGAUCAAGAUAUUCGUAAUAUUAUACUCUAUAUUUUAUGUUUUAUACAUCAAAUCUAUUGUUACGUUUCGUCAUCGCUCUCAAAAUUUAGUUUCUGUUAAUGCGUAUAUUACAAAAUAAGAGAAAAUGCACACAAAAUUUGGGCAUUGUUUAAUUUUAAAACAGAACUGAGAAAACCUCGAAAGACUAAUAAUUAAAAAAAAAAAAAAUUCAAAUUUAGAAAUUGUGAUCUACUUCAAUGCGUUUAAUAAAUUCCAUUCCGAAUUUUAGCAGCUUCUUAAGUAAUCGACAAAGAAAUUAACGUCCGAAUAAGAACUUAAAACUAGCAAUUUUUUUUUCAAAAUAUUUAGCACGAAUUUAGUAACAAAAUAAUUUAUUAAGAAUUAAUAAACUCAUCAAUAAUUAAAUUAAUUUUUUGAUCAAAUUGAACGAAAUAUUGAAUCAGGAUUUCUGAAAAAGGUAUAACAGAUGCAUGACGUGAAAAAUAUAGUAUAAGGUGCCUUAUAGCACCUUUUAUAUCGAGAUCGAUGAAAUUACAAGUUGCAUUAUACUGUUCAUUUUAUUUAGUUUUAGUUUCUCAGUACUUUUUACAUAUAAAAAAUUAUUACCAUUUGAGCUAAGAAAGUUCAAGCGUGCAUAUGUGUUUCAUACACUGAUAUUACUCAGCAAAAUAUAUAUCAUUCUCUUUUAUGAUGCUGUGCUACAUUUGAGCCAAUAUCAUAAAACUGUAUCAGGAUCUGGCUUCCAGUUUUGAGAACAAAAGUCACGGAUUCUUUUUCCUGAAUCUUCUACCAAUUUGAGUCACUUGCCUCUGGAAAAAUUGGCUUUGGAUCCGAAAGAGAAGAAGAUAAUCGAAAGAGCAAAGAGCGAGUCAUACAAGGGAUGAGGUAAAAUAUUUAAUUUUUUGACGACCACUGUCACUGAUAUAAAAUGGCAUUAAUGCUUUCUCUCUUGAUUAGUGCCUAUUUGCGGCACAAAAUAUGUGGAAAUUGUUGUACUUCUUGUUAGGGGGAAGUUCCUAAUGCAAUGGAUAAUCCAGAUUUCAUUAACUAAUUAAAAAAAUCACUUCCAUUCAAACAAUAAUUGAAAUAAAUUACUUUUUAUAUACUAUCUGAGAAAUAAUUAAAAGUAAUAAUAAAUAAAAUAAAUAAGUAAUUGUUUGAGAAAUGCUGUUAACUGAAAUUAUAAACAAAUAAUUUGUUAUAAUAGUGGCAGUCUAACAUGAUUUUUAUUUACGUAAAGCCAUUUUUAUAGCCUUUGGUAACAGUCUACUAGUAUCAAGAAAAUAUAAAAUAGCAGAACCUUUAAGAUCUAUGCUAUAUUCUAAUGAAGCGAUUCAUACUGAUUUGUGUAUCUGACAGGAAAUAUAAAUAUUUGUAUUAAAUCUGUUAGAAAUCGAUAGAAAGUUUUUACUCAUCCUGAAGUGUUAUUGGGCAGCAUAAUUUUUCCUUGAUUAGAGUAAUUUCUGUACGAUGAAGGGCACCGUCUCCUCUCGUGUGGAUUCGUGGUAGGGGAAGAGGGGUGGAAGACCCUCGGAUCCACUCCCGGGGUGCUGUCCCAGAAGAUUGGUGUGGAACUGGACAAAAUCAUACUGUCAUCUAUCUGGUGCUCAAGGCUGUUGCCAGAGGCAAACGUAAUCUUGUACUUCUUGCCGCAAUGAAUUUUGUAGGCAUGUUCUGAUAUCAGACGAGAAAUUAGUCACAACAUCAACACAUUGCAUUGUAUGAUAUUACGUAACACUGUAUGGUUUGAAAGAGGGUCGGUUUGAACGCCUAGCAAGCACCAGACCACUACACUGUAUGGUAUUACAUUACACUGUAUUAUAUUACAUCUUAUUGUUGGCUGCGUACGGGUUCGUCAUGGAUUGAAUUCACACAGAACCGAUGAUAUCUUGACAAGCUUUGUUUUCCCCAAAGAAAAACUUUACAGUUCUGGAACUUUCCACAAAAACACUCGUACAUCUUUCUUCAGUAUUACAGGGGGCAAACAGCAGCUACGCUUUAGAGUACCUUGUUCAACACAACGCGGCGCAUCUAAAGAGCGAAACUCGUACCGAGAUCUCUCAGUACACUGAAUUCUGCAUUAAACUGAGAACUGAUAUCGGCCUUAUAUUAUAGUUUUCCUCCGGCCGACACAAAAUUUCCAGUAGCUUCGAAUUUCUCAAAAUUGUUGGAAGGCAUAUGCAGUUACAAUUACAUAUAGGUGUCAGACCAAUUACAGUCACACAGGAAUUGGACCACAGUGUCGCCAAAACCAUUGCCAGCUUGGCGCUAUCUCGCAUAUUUGGCGAAAUAGCCAUUUACUUCAAUGAUAAAUGGUAACCUAAUUCUUCCGGCGCAGCUUAGCAUCUCUUGUUACAAUUAUUUUCUUCUUAGAGGUACACGAUUAAAAAAAUUUGAAGAUCGUUGUCCUAGUAAACACUGACAGACUUCAGUAUUGUCACGCAACCAAACUGUAAAUAAUUACACUUAUUAAAAGUGAAAAAUAUUUACACUUUUAUGAAUUUUUUGUAUUGUUACUAAAUUACGAUUCUAAAGUAAUAUAACUUCAUGAAAAUUUUAAUUACAUAUUUUUGACUUUGGAAAUUUAUAAAUUAUUUGUGUGAAAAUUCAUUCGGGGUACCAAAUGUAACAAAAUUAUAAAUUAAAGACACUAGUAAAUCACAAGAGAAUAAAUAUCAUUGAUUGAAAAAUCAAUCUCGGAUUAUUCUAGUUUAUUUGUUAACCGGUCCCUCAGUGCAAAUUCAAAAUGAUGUCAAAUAUUGCAAAUUUUGAAAUUAAAUAUCUCGGUCAAUUAUUUUUGUACGGGAGUCAAGCCUUUUGUGUUUUAUUUUUUAUAACGGAUAAAAAAUUUUCCUGAAUAUAAGCAAAGGGACCGGUUGAAAGUGUAGUAAGUUAAAUGUCGUAUUUUAUACAUAACUAGUUUAAAAAAAAUUAAAAUAUAAUAAGAAAUUAGAAAGGUUUCAGAUUUUAAAGGCCGCCUAGAAAGGUUGGUUAGUUUUUUUUACGCUCUCGCUAAGCUCGCAGUCUGCUGUUGCACUCACUCCUGCUAACCCAUUUGUUUUGCCUUUUUAGCUUCAUUAUUAAGUACAAUUUUCUUUAUACUUACGUUGUUUAUGUGAGUAU